rnacentral:lncRNA from 1 species
AGUCAACACUGCAGCCCAUGGGCCGAGUCUGGCCUGCUGCCUGUGUUUAUCGAUAAAGUUUUAUUGGAACGCAGACAGGCCAACUCAUUUAUCUAUUGUCUAUUGCUACUUCUGCACCACCAAGGCAAAGCUGAGCGGCUGUCACAGAGACUCCAAGGCCCAUGAAGUCUAAAAUAUUUACUAUCUGGCUCUUUACCCAAAAAAGUUUGCCAAUCCCUGAUCUAUAGCAUGCCAUGAAGGCGUCACAACUCUAGCCACAUGUCCUACUUGUCCCAGGUCAUGAGGCCAGAGUGUGGAAAAGCAGCUGCUCCAGGCAACCUACAUCUCCCACUAGAAAAACAAUGCAGCGUGUGCUGUGGGACCUGCACUGCUCUUGCAAGAUUCACAUCCAGCCUGAGAGUAGUAGUAUUGCCAUUAUUUUGAUCCUGGCCUUGAGCUGGACUGUGCACUCAGGGAAGGGUCUUAGUCAUCACCGUAUCCCCCAGCAUGCACAGCACAGUGAACAGCAAACACGAGAGUUAGGUGAGGCUCAUUUAUAUCCAGAGACCAGCAUAGGGCUUUGAUGCAACAAAUGUUCAUAUUAAAUGUCCCCCAGCUGCAGGUUUGCAAAACAACAAUCUGCCUAGGUUCUUAAAAAAAAAAAAAAUUAUCUUCUUGGCUUUUUCCUCCACAGCAGCAUCAGGUACAUAAACAAUACACAGACUCCCUCUCGGAGACGGAUGGCUCAUGUUCAGUAAUUAUAACUUUGCUGGAACAUUGGAUUAUAAUCACCUUAUAAGAUCCGCUUUGGUAAAUUCCACAAGCAAAGAACUUUAAUUAGGGGGUUUUAUUAGCAAAGCUGUAUAAAAUAAAAAUGUAAUAUGUGAAAAUGAUUAUAGUAGCUACCUGAAUAAUCUCCCUUAAAUUGUAAGAUUCAUCAGUGUUCGUCUUGCAGAUCCUCCAAAGCAACGUGUGAGGGCUAC